GACGAACGCUGGCGGCGUGCUUAACACAUGCAAGUCGAACGGAAAGGCUCCAGCUUGCUGGAGUACUCGAGUGGCGAACGGGUGAGUAACACGUGGGUAAUCUGCCCUGCACUCUGGGAUAAGCCUGGGAAACUGGGUCUAAUACUGGAUAUGACCUUUCUCCUUAUGGGGUUUGGUGGAAAGUUUUUCGGUGUAGGAUGAGCCCGCGGCCUAUCAGCUUGUUGGUGGGGUGAUGGCCUACCAAGGCGACGACGGGUAGCCGGCCUGAGAGGGUGAUCGGCCACAUUGGGACUGAGAUACGGCCCAGACUCCUACGGGAGGCAGCAGUGGGGAAUAUUGCACAAUGGGCGGAAGCCUGAUGCAGCGACGCCGCGUGAGGGAUGACGGCCUUCGGGUUGUAAACCUCUUCCAGCAGGGACGAAGCGUAAGUGACGGUACCUGCAGAAGAAGCACCGGCUAACUAUGUG
rnacentral:rRNA from 1 species